rnacentral:lncRNA from 1 species
CCGUCACGGUACAAGCUGGAAGCCAUGAGAAACAACACAGGCAAAGGGAAUCAUAGCAUGGAGAUGGAGGGAUCUCCAUCACAAACACCUAGAUCCAGUCCAAACAUCCAAACCCAGAAUUCUCCCCUCGAUUCCUAUGAAACCAAAAGCAUUUCCAAGCGACUUAAUCAUCUCAUUGAGUUUGGCGGAAUCAAAUUUUACAAGGGGUUAUUAGGCAUAGAUGGUGAUUACCAGAAGAAUUUGUGCACUGAUGGUGCUCGCAGUGGCAGUGAUAGGAAGAAAACAAGCAACAAGUACUUGAAAGGGUUUCUGCUAAGGCGUAAAGUGGUAUGUGGCAGAAGGCAAGACGUAGAUGACAGAGCAGUCAGCGAUGACCGGCGG